UACCUGGUUGAUCCUGCCAGUAGUCAUAUGCUUGUCUCAAAGAUUAAGCCAUGCAAGUCUAAGUACGAGCUCUCGUACAGUGAAACUGCGAAUGGCUCAUUAAAUCAGUUAUGGUUCAUUUGAUCGUACAGUUUACUUGGAUAACUGUGGUAAUUCUAGAGCUAAUACAUGCGAGAAGCGCAGACCUCGCGGGAGGCGUGCAUUUAUCAGACCAAAAACCGGCCGCGUCUUCGGGCGCGUUCGCCUUGGUGACUCUGGAUAACUUUGCGGAUCGCACGGUCUAGCACCGGCGACGGAUCAUUCAAGUGUCUGCCCUAUCAACUUUCGUCGGUACGGUAUUUGCCUACCGAGGUUCUUACGGGUGACGGGGAAAUCAGGGUUCGAUUCCCGGAGAGGGAGCCUGAGAAACGGCUACCACAUCCAAGGAAGGCAGCAGGCGCGCAAAUUACCCAUUCCCGACGCGGGGAGGUAGUGACGAAAAAUAACAAUGCAGGACUCGUUCGAGGCCCUGUAAUUGGAAUGAGUACACUUUAAAAGCUUUAACGAGUAUCCAUUGGAGGGCAAGUCUGGUGCCAGCAGCCGCGGUAAUUCCAGCUCCAAAAGUAUAUAUUUAAGUUGUUGCGGUUAAAAAGCUCGUAGUUGGAUUUUGGGCGCAGGCGGCCGGUCCGUCGCAAGGCGUGUACUGGACGUCCUGGCCUUCCCUCCGGUUCUCCGCCGGUGCUCUUGACUGAGUGUCGGCGGCGGCCGGAACGUUUACUUUGAAAAAAUUAGAGUGUUCAAAGCAGGCUCUCGAGCCUGGAUAAUGGUGCAUGGAAUAAUGGAAUAGGACCUCGGUUCUAUUUUGUUGGUUUUCGGAGCGCGAGGUAAUGAUUAAGAGGGACAGACGGCGGCAUUCGUACUGUGCCGUUAGAGGUGAAAUUCUUGGAUCGGCGCAAGACGAACGACUGCGAAAGCAUUUGCCA
rnacentral:ncRNA from 1 species